rnacentral:rRNA from 1 species
UUAAAUUAUUUAGCAUGUGAAAAUCCUUGCUAAUAUAUAUUAGACGAGAAGACCCUAGAAAUUUUUACAAUGUAUAUAAAUUUGUUUUUGUUGGGGCGACAGAAUAACAGUUAACUUAUUUAUUUAUAGUUAUAUGGCUCUUAUAAGGAGAUUAAUUAAAUUACUCUAGGGAUAACAGCAUAAUAUUUGAAAGUUUGUGACCUCGAUGUUGGACUAGGAAAACUAAGCUUAGAAGGCUGAUUUAAUUGUUCUGUUCGAACAUUUACUCCUACGUGA